ACUCCUACGGGAGGCAGCAGUGGGGAAUAUUGCACAAUGGGCGCAAGCCUGAUGCAGCCAUGCCGCGUGUAUGAAGAAGGCCUCGGUUGUAAAGUACUUCUAGCAGUGAGGAAGGUGGGUAGUGUUAAUAGCAUAUUCAUUUGUACGUUAGUCUGCAGAAGAAGCACCGGCUAACUCCGUGCCAGCAGCCGCGGUAAUACGGAGGGUGCGAGCGUUAAUCGGAAUUACUGGCGUAAAGCGCAUGCAGGUGGUUUGUUAAGUCAGAUGUGAAAGCCCGGGGCGUCAACCUCGGAAUUGCAUUUGAAACUGGCAAACUAGAGUACUGUAGAGGGGGUAGAAUUUCAGGUGUAGCGGUGAAAUGCGUAGAGAUCUGAAGGAAUACCGGUGGCGAAGGCGGCCCCCCU
rnacentral:rRNA from 1 species